rnacentral:rRNA from 1 species
UUAAUCCUAUGCUGCCUAGAAAAGCCCAGUAGCGAGUUGACAUGGUGCCCGUACCCCAAACCAACACAGGUGGACAGGUAGAGCAUACCAAGGCGAGUGGGAUAACUAUGGUUAAGGAACUCGGCAAAUUUCCUCCGUAACUUCGGGAUAAGGAGGACCCCAGUAGCGUGACGAGACUUGCUCUCCGAGCGUGAAGGGGUGGCACAAAAUUGAGGGAAGCGACUGUUUACCAAAAACACAGCAGCGUGCUAAGCCGUAAGGCGCUGUAUACGCUGUGACUCCUGCCCGGUGCUGGAAGGUUACGGGGAUGGGUUAGUCCUUCGGGACGAAGCUCUGAACCUAAGCCCCAGUAAACGGCGGCCGUAACUAUAACGGUCCUAAGGUAGCGAAAUUCCUUGUCGGGUAAGUUCCGACCUGCACGAAUGGAGUAACGACUUCCCUACUGUCUCAACCAUAGACCCAGCGAAAUUGAAGUACGAGUAAAGAUGCUCGUUAGCUGCAGAAGGACGGAAAGACCCCGUGGACCUUUACUAUAACUUGAUGUUGUGUUUUGUCAUAUGUUGUGUAGGAUAGGUGGGAGACAAGGAAGCAUGGACGCUAGUCUGUGUGGAGUCAUCGUUGAAAUACCACCCUGCAUAUGGUGAGGCUCUAACCUAGACCCGUUAUCCGGGUUGGGGACAGCGUCAGGCGGGUAGUUUAACUGGGGCGGUUGCCUCCUAAAGAGUAACGGAGGCGCCCAAAGGUUCCCUCAGCCUGGUUGGCAAUCAGGCGUCGAGUGCAAUGGCAAAAGGGAGCUUGACUGCGAGACCUACAAGUCGAGCAGGAGCGAAAGCUGGGCAUAGUGAUCCGGCGGUUGCGUGUGGAAGCGCCGUCGCUCAACGGAUAAAAGGUACCCCGGGGAUAACAGGCUAAUCUUGCCCAAGCGUCCAUAGCGACGGCAAGGUUUGGCACCUCGAUGUCGGCUCAUCGCAUCCUGGGGCUGAAGCAGGUCCCAAGGGUUGGGCUGUUCGCCCAUUAAAGCGGUACGCGAGCUGGGUUCAGAACGUCGUGAGACAGUUCGGUCCCUAUCCUCUGUAGCCGUAGGUGAAUUGAGGAAAGCUGUCCCUAGUACGAGAGGACCGGGACGGACGCAGCUCUCGUGUGCCAGUUGUCCUGCCAAGGGCAUGGCUGGUUAGCGACCUGCGGAAAGGAUAACCGCUGAAAGCAUCUAAGCGGGAAGCCUCUUCCAAGAUGAAUUCACCCACAGGGUUAACCUGGUAAGGCCCGUGGUAGACCACCACGUUGAUAGGCCGGAAGUGUAAGCGUGGCAACACGUUCAGCUGACCGGUACUAAUCGGCCGAGGGCUUGAAUG